rnacentral:lncRNA from 1 species
GACCUACACCAAUUUUCCCUUUCAGAACAUUUCCACGGAGCAAUUCCAUUCAUAGGAAGAGCUACUGCACCUCUUUGUUUUCAAUUUAAACUAGUUCUACUCUGCAUAGCACUACAACAACUCCACGAGAUACAAAAAUUAUUACUUUAAAUUACAAUGUAUUCGGAAGGUGUUUUUUAAAUCUUUAUGUCAUCUCUGCUUGGGGGAGUCUGGCCGGGGAGUUCUAGAGAGAACAUGAGCUACUAACUCGGUGGAGCAUGGAGUGCAAAAGAGAUGAAUCCUUCUCUUCUUAAUAGUACAACAGGAGUGGGCUAUGAAGCACAUUAUUUACUUCAGUGGUCCCAUUACUGUAUGCCUCAUUACAUCUGAAGACUGAACUAGCAUUUUGAAUGUUCUGGCAACAGUGCGAACGCUCGCUUCCAUGCCUGUGCAUUAUUGCCGGUCAUCAUAAAUAACAGCUUUCCCAAUUUUCCAAUAUUGAUUCAUCCAUCUGUGUAUGAAAGGGAGAAAGGCAGCAAAAAUAACACAAACAGCAAAGAGAGCAUCUCCCCCUCAUAGCACAGUUCUUAUAAGGGGCUGUCCUUGGGACAUGUUCUGCCAAAGGUUUUGGCUUCCAAAUGUAGUAGUUCUUUUGGAUUCAGACAGCCAUUGGGAUAGCUCAGUCAGUUAGAGCAUGGUGCUGAUAAUGCUAAGGUUGCAUGUUCGAUCCCCUUGUGGGACAGCUGCAUAUUCCUGCAAGACAGGGGUUGGACUAGAUUGCUGCCGGGGUCCCUUCCAACUCUGCAGUUCUACAGGGUGGGCACCACUACCAAGAAGGCCCUCUGCCUGGUUCCCUGUAACCUCACUUCUCGCAGUGAGGGAACUGCCAGAAGGCCCUCUGGAGUGGUGGAAAGGGAUAUCCUGGUUUGUGAACCAUGU